UCAUGUAAUUCCCUGUAAAGGGCAGCAAGUGGCUGUAGUGAAGGGGGAAGCCUAGGAAAUGGCAGGAAGUGAGAAAGGUUUAUAUGGGGAAAAACCCUGAGACCAGGGGGUCUAGUAGCCAGAGCCAGAAACUUGAGGUUCCAGCGAAGUAGGGCUGGGAGUGACCUGCCAAAGGAGGAAAAGCCCCAGGCAGGAAGUCCUGGGAGUGAACUGGAGACUUCUGGGAGUGAGCAGGCUCCAGAAGACAGACCUGGGACGAGGGGCAGGAAAAGCCUGAGCGUAACCCAGCAAGAGGGUAAACCUGACAGACUGUGUUUUGGGACUUUCAGCUUGAUUCUGGAACUUUCUGCAUGUGACUAAACCUGGACCCUCGAGAAAAGGUGGUCCCUGUUUUCCUCAGGCACUGCAGUGGGCAUAUUGCACAGUCUAUGAGUGACGAAGAGAUAUUGCUGUUAAUGGCACUCUGAGUAUCUUUCCAUGAUUUCACACAGUGACUUUAUACAUGAACUGAACAGGAGAGGUGACAAGAUUGAGGAUUGCAGGACAUCACAGAUUAAAGCCCUUAUUGAACACCUUACUAGUUACUGAAAUAUGAUCAGUUCUUCUCCCUACCUCCCCAUUAAGAUGGAGACUGAGAAGUAAAGUGACUUGUCCCAGGAGAUGCAGUACGACUGUGACGAACCUGUAUUAUUAGAACCUGGUAAAGUCCUGUGCUUCAGUUACAACAGCAACCUUUCUUUCCUAAGUCACACUGGAGUUCAGUGUAUUGCAUAAAUUAAUUGUUUUUUUUUUUCAUUUUAAUUAAGAAUGGUCAAACUGUUUCUUCUCUCAUGUAUAUGUAAUGU